AAUUAGUCUUUUAAUUGGUGACUGGAAUGAAUGAAUAAAUAAAAUUAAAGCUUUAUUUUCUGUAUUUAUAAAAUUUAAUUUUUAAGUGAAGAAGCUUGAAUUUAGUUAAAAGACAAGAAGACCCUAAUGAUUUUUAUUUUUAGGUGCCCAUAAAUUAAAAAUUAGAUAAUUUAUAUGGUGCAGUAUAAAAUUUUGCUGGGGCGGUAUUUGAAUAUAUAAAUAAACUUCAAAAUUUAAGUGAUAAAUAUCUUUAGAGUGAUCUUUUUUAGUGAUUAGUAGAAAAAAAUACCAUAGGGAUAACAGGCUAAUUAUUUUUGAUA
rnacentral:rRNA from 1 species